CUGUUGAAAAUAUAGUUUUAAUUAGGGCUGUCACGAUUUCUCGAUUAAAUUUGAGUAAUCGAUUUCCAAAAAUCCUCGAUUGCAUUU